CCUACGGGUGGCAGCAGUGAGGAAUAUUGGUCAAUGGACGAGAGUCUGAACCAGCCAAGUAGCGUGAAGGAUGACUGCCCUAUGGGUUGUAAACUUCUUUUAUAUGGGAAUAAAAUGUUCCACGUGUGGGAUUUUGUAUGUACCAUAUGAAUAAGGAUCGGCUAACUCCGUGCCAGCAGCCGCGGUAAUACGGAGGAUCCGAGCGUUAUCCGGAUUUAUUGGGUUUAAAGGGAGCGUCGGUGGAUUGUUAAGUCAGUUGUGAAAGUUUGCGGCUCAACCGUAAAAUUGCAGUUGAAACUGGCAGUCUUGAGUACAGUAGAGGUGGGCGGAAUUCGGGGUGUAGCGGUGAAAUGCUUAGAUAUCACGAAGAACUCCGAUUGCGAAGGCAGUUCACUGGACUGCAACUGACACUGAGGCUCGAAAGUGUGGGUAUCAAACAGGAUUAGAUACCCUUGUAGUC
rnacentral:rRNA from 1 species